GUCGGCCGCCGUCCACCGCGCCGUCGAAACGACCGUAGCGAGAACGCUUCGUGGUUCGUUCGUCGUCAUUGGAACCGGCCGCGUUACCGGAGAGCCGAGAUUUGCCUGAUAUCGCACCGGGCCACGUCCAAAAAAAUUCCGUUAUCCGAACGUGCGUAACCUCCCUAGUGUUGUGUUGUGCGUGUGUGUAACUACGGUGCAACACUCUCUCUGGCAACAUCGUGCGAGCUCACGAUACAAAACAUUCGGUAGUUUGAAGCGUUUCUCGAGCGCGCGCAUACCCGCGCAUGCUAGAAAUUACGCGUGUAUACGCGCAAUUUUCAAAAGUGUGACGACGAGAAAAAUUUCACAUUUAGAAAGGCAAACCGCGCGUCUGCGUCGGGAAAGCAAUUUUUGCCGGUCUUUUAGCACAUCCCAUUUUCUGCUUUCGUUUAAAGCAACUGUUACCGUGGGCGGCGAAUGCAUGUUCACCAUAGCGACGCGGCGACUGCGUUUUUCAAUUUUCGCGACGCAGUUUCAAAACGUUGCAGCUGCAUCUCUGGAAACGCCGCGCCGGUCGUCCUGAGAUGCGUGCCAACGACGAUGGCGACGAUGUUUCAUGACACGCGGGUUAACAAUCGCGCUAUCGGCAGCAGAUUCAACGCGUUAGCCUGUCUACGCGUUUUUGUUAUUGACGUGGUGGCGAAUGUUGCGCAAGAAUGAUUUGUGGCGAUUGCAGCCUGCUGCCGGGGACCUCUCGCCGAAUCGAUAAGCAAACGCGAUUUCGAGUUUAGCGACGCGAUGCUUUCGAGAAUGCAUAUCGCGUAACGAAUAGUCGCGUGGAUUUCUUGAAUAGUGUUUACCAAAUGGGACUUUUCCAAUGGAGUGAUAAUUCAUCGCGACUUUUCGCGCACUCACCGGCCAAGAUCCUCGUCCUGCAACGUUCAUUGAACUAACGCCUUCCGUUAUUGUUCCGCAAGGCGAUGCGGCCUCGAUCGUGGCCUGACGACGUCGAUGUCGGGAAUGGAAGAUUGACGCGAGCGAGCGUGCGAACCAACGAACGAGCACUCCAAGUCGGUGCAAAUCGCCGUAAACGAGGCGGCACAGCACUUUCACCUCACGUUUCCAAUUUGCGUCUCGUGCCUGCGUGCUUACCUUGACAGAUGGACGUGCGGCACGGACGACAAUGAUACGUCGCCACACACGUACACAUCGCGACGGGGGUAACCAUGGCAGGACGCUCGUGCACCCUCCGGUGCAUUCGGGGUUCAUAAAGGAUACUUUAUUGUCACGGAUUUCAGUUACCCGAGAAAAACAGUAUGUGAGUACAUACAAGGAUACUCGUACCUAGGUGGCUGGGCAUCAUUAACUUCGCUUGGCUUGACUACCGUAUCCUAUGAGGACCAACAGGUAGCGUGCUACAUAGACCGAGGCAGUUCGCGACCUCCGAACGAUGCUUCACGAGAAAUUAGACGGCGCACGAGACCGCGAGGAAUGGGUGCUCGCAACGUGGAAGUGACAACUUUCCGCGAGACGGACGAAACUCCGGAGAUAGUUGGGCAAUUAUUCGCUCGCCCUAAGGCGAGGCGAAUUUGUGCCCUCGGCGGUGGGAAGCACGGGCCGUCACCGCGAGAAUUUGACGCACUUCGACCAUAGUUGCAACCGGUAAUGCUGUAACGUUACGACAGCAGAGUUUUCGAAUGUAAUUACGGAGGUGGAAGGGGAGAUUGCAAAUUCGCCUUUGCUCUGUCUCCCUCUCCCUCUCUCUUCUUGCAUAUGACAGUAACAGAGUAGUAAUCACGUGAAAACGAUAUUAUGGAAAAGAAUCGAGAUAUAAUGCUCGGGGGAUAAAUUCUGUUGUAAACAAAUUAAUUUAGCCCUUGUUAUGACGGGAACGCGUCAAUGCAAAAUAAAUAAAUCGUUCAAUCUAUUUUCCUGUAAAAAAGGGAGAGAGAGAGAGAGAGAUACGCGGUUCAUGUCGUUAAUGCUGGAGCUGUCAGCGGAUGGACGGGAAAUCUCGCCGCGAGGCUAUUUUUGAAGGUUCUUCUAAAAUUGACGUUCGCCGAUGGAAAAUUCAUUCGCAGGUGCUACCGUGUGUCAAAACGCGCGACAGCUGAAGGCACGCGCGCAUUCGCGCGUAACCUUGCGGACGGCUGAUACUCGAUAGUUGAAAAUUAAUUCAUGAGAGUGCCGCUAUAUCGAUAUGUUUGACGUUUUCGAAUGCCGUCAGUCUAAUAAAAAUAUGAUAUACUCAAGUGCUUUUAUAAAGAAAAGAAAUUAUGAAAUGUAUACAUGUAAUAUUUAUUACGCUUUCUUUCUAUCUCUUAUUCCUCGCGUUUCUUCGGAAUCGAACGUGAAACGUCACUCCCUUUCCAUCUUUUCGCCAAAUUGUCGGCGUAAUUGUACUUUAAAUUUUACCUCUAUCGAAUUAAUUUAUGAACAGUCAAAUCUAUAAUCUAAAUAGCUGUAAUUAUAAAAUAAUGAUUAUGAUGUUAAUAUUAACGCGCAAGUAAUUAUCAUAUUUUAUUCGGCGGUUAAAGCAGUCAGCCGCGACAUGCCGUUAUUUCGCGGGUUUUCGAUACGAGGCGUCAACACGAAACACCUUACGCGCAAUUUUCACACCACGAGAGAUAGAUAGAGAGAGAGAGAGAGAGAGGAGCAUGGAAGUGCGAGAGAAUAAUGUGUCUCAAAAUUAAUUCGGUUAUCGCGCGCACCGUGCGCAACGGUCUCGCUCGAGUGAUAUCGUUCUCAUUACGGUUAAAGGGUUAAUUAAUUUCCUGCCGAAAUUUAAUUAAUCGAACGACCGAAAUUUAUUUGCCGCUCGCAGCGGCCACCAAACGCCGCCGUUAUUGGAUCGGUCGGUUAGUUCAGCGACCUAAACGCCUUAUUAGAUUUAGAGCGACGCCACGCUCGCAGAGCUGCGGCCUCGUAAUUGCACCCCCGCGGUGACGUUUACGGUAAUUAAAAUAUCGUGUCGUCGCGAAAGACUCGCUCCACCCCCAUAGAAAUAAUAACCAGACAAUGGCGAAUAGUAUUCCGCGCGAACGGAACAAUUCCGCGCGACGACGAUUUUCUUAACGAGCGCGGCGCAGAAGAACGGAACGCCGAAGCGUCGUUCCGUUAAUCGCGCGGUCGAAAAUUCCGCACAAGGCCACGAGUCCUCUUUCCACCCUCUCGUCUGCAACUCUCGCGGCUUCACAGCAGCUGGUCCGCCGAAACUCCGACGGGAAAGUGGGACUCCGACCGGGAGAAGCUGUGGCCACGCUGAUCGGUGGGAAAAGUGGCGAGAUAGAGAGAAAGAUCAGAGGCAGAUGGAGAAGGAGUGAGCAAGGAGAGAGACGGAGGGAUUGCAGGAAAGUAGAGCGGAAUUGAUCCCGUGUAAUAGGACUAAAUCCUCGUGAAACACCGUGAGCACCGUGAUACGUGAUUAGACACGGAUUGGAUGGCACCAUGACGCUUCGAGAGAGAUCAGGAUUGUAAGGUGUAAAUUUAGAACAGAAAAAGCGAGCAGAGGGCGGAAUUAGCCUGAUGAAUUUUAUAAUUCGCUUGCCUUUUCCCGUCGCGCGAGUCGUUGUUGUCGUUACGCAGCCGACUGCGAAAUUGCGAUGCAAAUGCAUUCGAAAGGGGUGCCUUUUCCGACGCGAGUGUUCUUUUAUUUUCCCAUACACGCCGAGUACGCCGGGACAUCUCAUUCUGGAUGAGUUUCCCUCUUUUCUCGUCCUCGACGUCGUUAAUUGGUUUCGUGCGACGCACGCGAAAUCCCGCGCGAGAAGUUUCGAUCGUUUCACGAAAAUCCGCGUAAUUGCUACGUUAGAAUCGAUCGUUCGCGUUACUAUGAACUCGAGGCAGCUCGUGCACUCCUCUUGGUAACCGAAUAUCACCGCUCCCAGCUAUCCCUCAUUAGGCAAGUUAAUAAAUUUUACGUAUCGUACAUCAUUGGCGUCAAGUAUACAUGUACGAGGAGUACGAAUUUAAUUCAAGAAAAUUGAGCUUGAGUUAUAUUACGUAACAGGCGAGGGUGGUGUGAUGUCGUAACUUAUAACGAAGGAUCAUGUGUGUGCGAAAAUGAUAUUUAAUAAAGUUUUGAGAGAGACUUACGUACGCGUAACUAUCCGCUAUUGCUGCGGCGCGCAGAAAACACGAGGUAUUAUAUUGCAUUGUUCUGCAACGGCAAUUUAACAGCAAUGGCGCAAAAUGACACAGGUGCGUAGACGCGCGACAUUUUCACGCGUGCCGCAAACGGCAAAUUAAAUUCCACGGGCGGAGCUGAAGGAUGCGCGCGACUACGGCAUCGGAGUGCAUCGAAUCGUGCUCGCGAUGCGCCGGCGGGACGAUUAAUUGGCAAAACGGCGCAUUAUACAGUGAAAAUUGUAAAUUACGACGGCGGGUAAGUACCGCGUUAUUAGGCAGUUGGAAACGCGGGCGACGAGAGGAGGAUCUUGAAGAAAGGAAAGGAUGGCAACCUCAACGAACGUGGCGAGAGAACCGGCGAGGGUUGUUGGGGGAUGAGCGGGCGGGACGAUGCGAAUGCAACGAAAAGAGAGAAGGACGGAGAAGAGAAACCGGGGAGAGAAAAGCCCGGGGCAAUGGCGCGACUUGUUGAGCACUAUCUGUCGCCGUGUCUCCACCCUUCCAUCCACCCUCGCUGCCACCCGUAAAAACCCGUAUCUUCCACUCUGACGUACUUGCAGCGCGCCGCGUCACCGUAGCAGCAGUCAACGAAGAUGCUGCGAUAAAACGUUGCCGCCACCACCACCCCUGGAAUAGUUCGGCCUGCAAAAAGGGAUAAAGCGUGCGCGUUCACCCGCGCGCGAGACUCGCUCGGGUAAAGCAAAAGCUGCAUUUCGUGUUCCCUUUUCCCGCGGUCGUCGAUGAACUACCGACUACGUUAUCGUUAACGAAUCGAAGCGUGGAGACCGGAGCAUGUUAUCGCGCGGCGCAACCCCCAAGAUUUUGUUAUCUCCACCAACAUGCGCGAGAACCAGGAGAGUCCGGGUGAAGUAUGAUACGGCCAUCUGGUUGUAACAUCAGACAGAUCUGAUCUGGCAGACUGCGCGUUUGAUUAUCGCGCAGUCAUCGAAAGGAAUAUUUUAUUAUUUAACAAUGCGCUGCAGCUAGAUCAACGUCAUCCCAGCUCUGUUUACCCGCAAAACCCCGGCAAUUUUUUAUGGCGAUAUUUCUCAAAGGGAUGACGUGGGAUGGAAAAUGUCAAUAUUGCUACGAAAUUCGACGCAGCAAUAUUUGUAUUGGUUAAAGUUAAAGGGCUGUUAAAUAAACUCGGUUUUUUGUUCGAAAAUAUCAUUAGAUAAAUUUACAAUUCGAAAAUGUCCGACGGAAAAUGUUGGCUGGAUUAUAUCUGUCGAACAGCCGGAUCAAAUUGGAAAAAUGUACACGGUAUCAUGUAACAGUAAAAAAAAAUAUCUGUAUUUACAUAAUGUUUAGUUCUGACGCAGUUUUCGAAAAAUGUGAAAAAUUCAACAAAACACAACCUAUGCACGGUACACGAGAUUUUUGUUUCCGUAAAUGCUAAUAACAGAAAAAUAAUAACAGCAAAACUACGGGAAAAAUUGCCCGUGUACCUAUGUUCAUGCGUUUUACUCGGCUUUUAACGUUUUUCGUCGACACCACGAUUUUUCAUCCCGCGUGAUUCUGUCGACGGGCACUCUCCUCCCCUUCUCUCCCUCACUCCUAUCUAUCUAUCUAUAUAUCUCUCUCUUUCUGCGUCAUUCUCUCGUAUUAUUACGGGAUGACAAAAAAAACAACAUAAUAUUCCCUAUACGCGAUUCGUCACCGCAUCUUAGUCGUUCCAUUCCAUUGUGUGCGGCUUUGUUUCUCGUUCCUUCCCCGGUCGAAUGAGUGUUCCCGACACGAUAGACCAGCCAGUGGAGAUAAUCCGAGUGAAAUGUGCUCCGAGCUAUUUUCAGUUCCAGUAGCGCUUUGAUAGCAGCUGCUCGGAAUAUGGAUAAGGGGCAGAACUGGCCGCUGCGCGCUGGCCUUAACUACUGACCACCCUGUUCCAUCCUGGCUUCUAUCCUACCGCGUAAUGUUACGCGAGGCAGAAACGGUUGUUGCACACUCACGUAUCAUGGCUGUGUUUGCGCAUCGUACGCUAUCACUUUGUGCAGCACGUUUGUAUGUCAUUAGCGCAUCAAGUUUGGCACAAAACUAGCGUUAAUUGCAAAACACUUUUUUUUGUUAUCAUGUUCAACACUGCUGGGAAAUAUCGUAUUUUUUUUAGAGAGAGAGAGAGAGAGAGAGAGAUGGAUAAUGUUUCUAACUGUGCUGCACCGUGUGGAAAGAAACGUGUAAUAUUUUAUUUAAAUAUUUUAUAUAAUAUAACUUGGUAUUAAACUGUUAUUUCGCAUGCGA
rnacentral:lncRNA from 1 species